UACAUGUGGGGCAAGCGUUGUUCGGAAUUACUGGGCAUAAAGCGCACGUAGGCGGACUCUUAAGUCGGUGUUGAAAUCCUGGAGCUCAACUCCUGAACUGCCUUCGAUACUGAGAGUCUCGAGUCCGAGAGAGGUGAGUGGAACUGCGAGUGUAGAGGUGAAAUUCGUAGAUAUUCGCAAGAACACCAGUGGCGAAGGCGGCUCACUGGCUCGGUACUGACGCUGAGGUGCGAAAGCGUGGGGAGCAAACAGG
rnacentral:rRNA from 1 species